AUGAAAUCUUAAGAAAUGAUAAUGGUAAACCGAAGAAUCGAUCUCUUAGUCAACGAUAGUUUUGAUUUGGUGAAUUAGUUAUUCUGGUCAUGUUCAAGUCGAUCCCGAAGGUCGUUCGGCUCUUGUUGGUAAGUUCCGUAACAACUCAAAGGAGGCAUCAUUACUUCAAUCCAAUCCAGAUUUAAGGCAAUUGAGGGAUUGGGUACUGUGGAUUCAUUAAUGACCCUGACUGAGUAAAGAAGAAUGAUAAUCAUGUUACUGACCAGAAAGAGGGAGAAGAACAUCAGUCAUUGGGUUGGAGUAAAGAGUUUAGGGUUGACAAUAAUGAAUUUUUUGCCAUUACGAAGAGGUGUUUUGACAUGCAUUGAUAACUGUCUAAACUUUUAUGACACAAAAUUUCAACCUCGAAAAGGCUUGCGGAUUUGAAGGAACAGACUCAAUGGGUAUUCCGUCACAAUAACACCUUAGUUUUCGUUGGAAGAAUUAGGUGAAGAUGAUGUGAAGUCAAUGUGGUCGGUUAUUGAGGAGACAGAAAGCCUAUCAACCAGCUGUAGGAGGAUGAGACCUGGAUAUACUUACUCAUAAGCUGGUGUACGAAUCUUCCAGUUGUUCAACUUCGAUUCAGUUAGAUCCCAAGUUGCAUCAUUAGCCACUGCUAGCUCAGUUGCGUUUGCUAUGUCGUCCAAAGAUUCGGGUAAACCACCUGGGGAAUAACAAUUGUCUGAAAGCUGUGUGUGAUUGCAUUCUCCCCGUAUGAAUCAAACCCCUUGAAUAGAAGCACUUUGCUAGUGUGGCCUUCGGGAUAUGCUGCAGUACCAUCUCCUCCAUGGUCUAUCAGCAUCCUUUUUUAUUGCAAAACAACUGUCUUCGGCGUGUAAAGGCGAUGAACUUACUUUCAGCUUUCGUGUUGAAAAUAAGUUUCAGAAUAGUUUGUGAAUCAUCCACAUGCAUUGUAUGAUUUCUCAUCCUACUGGUACUUAGUAUAGCCAGUGGAACAGAGUUUGCUUUGAUGGAGCUACAGUCAGUUUGAGUGGUUUAAAUGCCAAAAUUUUGUAACUUGUGUUUGGAGGUGGAUGCAGAAUCAAGGGUGUAUGAUUUGCAGAUUCUGAGUUUUUCAAACUUGGGUCCACAAGGAUCAAUACUGACUUUGGUGUUAUAGCUAUAAGCUAUUCUUGUGAGGUUAUUGGAACUAUUGCUGGAGGUUUAGAAGUGGCUACUGAUUAUAUUGCAGAAGUGAUGGCUUUACUGGUGGCAGUGGAACGGGCUGUUUAGGCCUGAGUUUCAUUACUGUAACAAUCCGACUCAAAGUCCGAGUGCUGUAGAUAGAGAAAUGAUCCCUUGAGAGUGGAAAUGCCUGAUACAGUUUUCUA